CGCGCCGCUCUGCUGCUAGCCUGCUACUCGCGAAACCACGGCAAGGCAUCCGGCAUGGCCGCCGGCGCCCGCGCGACGCCGACGCGGACACCACCGCGCCCCUCCUCGCCGGCGCCCCGCACCGAGGCGGUGAUCCCACCGGACUGGGCCUCCGCCGUGACCCUCGUCUCCUCCCACUCCACGCCUCCUGUCGUCGUCGUGUGCGGGCCCAAGAACAGCGGCAAGUCCACCUUCUCCCGCAUCCUCCUCAACGCGCUGCUCCCCAGGCACGGGAAGGUUGCUUAUCUGGACACCGACGUGGGGCAGCCGGAGUUCGGGCUGCCUGGGUGCCUUUCCUUCCACAUCGUUGACGAAGCUCUCGAAGAUUUGCUGAACCCAACUCUACGGGAAGCUGAAAGGUGCUGCUUCUUUGGUGACAUUUCUUCAAAAAGAGAUCCAGAAGCAUAUCUAAAUUGCCUAUUCCAUUUGUAUGACUACUUUGUUGGAAAAUAUCGGUGUGAUGAGAAUGAAAUGCUGCCUCUAAUUGUCAACACUCCUGGCUGGGUAAAAGGUGCUGGUUUCGAUAUGCUCGUAGAGAUGCUUAGAUAUAUCAGCCCCACACUUGUUGUUCAGAUACGCAUCACAGCGCAGAGCAAGAAUCUCCCUGAUGGAAUGUUUUGGCUCGAUGAUGAGCAAACAGGACCUGAGAUGAUUAACAUCAAUGCUGCAUUUCAUGAUGCCUUGAAUAGAUCGUUGUUAAUUCAGAAAGAUUCAUGUGGAAUGCGUGAACGGCGUCUCAUUGAGUACUUGAAGCAAUGUUUCCCAAGCAACAUAUCUCUAUCAACUAAUAAGGAACUUGCUUAUGCCCUAGCUUCACUUCCACCUUAUCAAGUACCAUUUUCAGAUGUGACAGUUGUGCAUCUUCAUUGCGAGGUACCUGCUGGUGAGAGAUGGCGUAGUCUGAAUGCAACAAUAGUUGGUUUGGCAAUUUCCACUGCAUCCGAGGCCAGUAAAUCAAUCCCUUACUGUGUUGGGCUAGGCCUGACCAAUCUCCAGUGGAGGGAAGUUCAUCUAGAUAGAGCAUGCAGGUUGUGAACAAAGUCAGGGUUCUAAACAAUGUGGUUUCAGCAGCUCAGGAUGCAAUUUUCUCUGAUAUCUAUGUUGAAUUCAAGCAAAUAAUAACGAUGUUGUCCUUCUGCAGGCAUCGUAAGAGGCAUUGAUGUUCAAAAAGGCCUGUUAUACGUAAUAACUUCUGUCCCUCUCGAACGUCUGCAAAGUGUAGAUCUCUUGCAGCAGGGGCUCAUUGAGAUACCAACUACACUUUUGCAGGUACGUGGAUGUGUGUCACCAUACAUGUCGACAAAUGUACUGCACAAGAUAUCAGAAAGAGAUUUAUAUUCUGGUGAUGGUUAGCAUAGGCAGGCAGCAUGCUGCGUCCAAGGGAAGAAUAACGCCGCCCCAGCGCAGCACCAUACCUUUAUCUCUACUGAUUUCUGACCUGGAGAUCAUGACGCAACUGUAGCGGCAGACUACCAGCAGCGGUUGCCUCCUAGAUUUGUGCCCUGUGCAAUUGCCAUUUUGUGGCCUGGUCAAUUGCCAUAUCAAAUUCGUCAUUGCACUUAUGCUUCUAAGAAAUCUGAAUGUAACUUGCUGAAUACAUUGAAAUUUCUUAUUUUAAAUGAAGUUACUCCUCGUUUUGCUUUGAA